GGAUUGCCUCAGUAACGGCGAGUGAAGCGGCAACAGCUCAAAUUUGAAAUCUGGCUCUUUCAGGGUCCGAGUUGUAAUUUGUAGAAGAUGCUUUGAGUGUGGCUCCGGUCUAAGUUCCUUGGAACAGGACGUCAUAGAGGGUGAGAAUCCCGUACGUGACUGGGUGCCUCCGCUCAUGUAAAGCUCUUUCGACGAGUCGAGUUGUUUGGGAAUGCAGCUCAAAAUGGGUGGUAAAUUUCAUCUAAAGCUAAAUAUUGGCCAGAGACCGAUAGCGCACAAGUAGAGUGAUCGAAAGAUGAAAAGCACUUUGGAAAGAGAGUUAAACAGUACGUGAAAUUGUUGAAAGGGAAGCGCUUGCAACCAGACUUGCAUGCAGUUGAUCAUCCGAGCUUUUGCCCGGUGCACUCGAUUGUAUUCAGGCCAGCAUCGGUUUCGGUGGGCGGAUAAAGGCCUUGGGAAUGUAGCUUCUUUCGGGGAGUGUUAUAGCCCUCGGUGCAAUGCGCCCUAUCGGGACCGAGGACCGCGCUUCGGCUAGGAUGCUGGCGUAAUGGUUGUAAGCGACCCGUCUUGAAACACGGACCAAGGAGUCUAACAUCUAUGCGAGUGUUUGGGUGUCAAACCCAUACGCGUAAUGAAAGUGAACGGAGGUGAGAACCCUUAAGGGUGCAUCAUCGACCGAUCCUGAUGUCUUCGGAUGGAUUUGAGUAAGAGCAUAGCUGUUGGGACCCGAAAGAUGGUGAACUAUGCCUGAAUAGGGUGAAGCCAGAGGAAACUCUGGUGGAGGCUCGCAGCGGUUCUGACGUGCAAAUCGAUCGUCAAAUUUGGGGUAUAGGGGCGAAAGACUAAUCGAAC
rnacentral:rRNA from 1 species